AUUGAACGCUGGCGGCAUGCCUAACACAUGCAAGUCGAACGAGUGGCGGACGGGUGAGUAAUGUCUGGGAAACUGCCUGAUGGAGGGGGAUAACUACUGGAAACGGUAGCUAAUACCGCAUACUAUCAGAGAUGCCCAGAUGGGAUUAGCUAGUUGGUGGGGUAACGGCUCACCAAGGCGACGAUCCCUAGCUGGUCUGAGAGGAUGACCAGCCACACUGGGACUGAGACACGGUCCAGACUCCUACGGGAGGCAGCAGUGGGGAAUAUUGGACAAUGGGCGAAAGCCUGAUACAGCCAUGCCGCGUGUAUGAAGAAGGCCUUCGGGUUGUAAAGUACUUUCAGCGGGGAGGCGUUACCCACAGAAGAAGCACCGGCUAACUCCGUGCCAGCAGCCGCGGUAAUAC
rnacentral:rRNA from 1 species